rnacentral:rRNA from 1 species
GUUAAACGGCCGCGGUAUUUUGACCGUGCAAAGGUAGCGCAAUCACUUGUCUUUUAAAUGAAGACCUGUAUGAAUGGUGGAACGAGGGCUUAACUGUCUCCCCCUUCUAGUCAAUGAAAUUGAUCUACCCGUGCAGAAGCGGGUAUAAUAAUACAAGACGAGAAGACCCUUUGGAGCUUAAGACAAAAAACCAACUAUGUCAAAAGUCCUAAAAAAGACUAAACUAAAUAGUACUGGUUUUAACCUUCGGUUGGGGUGACCACGGGAGAAAACAAAGCUCCCAUGCGGACUGGGGUAAUCCCCUAAAACUAAGAGAGACAUCUCUAAGACGCAGAACAUCUGACCAUAAAGAUCCGGCUACAUGCCGACCAACGGACCAAGUUACCCUAGGGAUAACAGCGCAAUCCCCUUCCAGAGUCCAUAUCGACAAGGGGGUUU